GACGUAGGGCGCGAGCGUUGUCCGGAUUUAUUGGGCGUAAAGAGCUCGUAGGCGGUCUGUCGCGUCUGCUGUGAAAACUCAGGGCUUAACCCUGAGCUUGCAGUGGGUACGGGCAGACUAGAGUGCGGUAGGGGAGACUGGAAUUCCUGGUGUGGCGGUGAAAUGCGCAGAUAUCAGGAGGAACACCGGUGGCGAAGGCGGGUCUCUGGGCCGUAACUGACGCUGAGGAGCGAAAGCAUGGGGAGCGAACAGG
rnacentral:rRNA from 1 species